AGGUCAUGAUGAGGACACUUUCUCAAUAAAUCCUUGUAUCUCUCUCAUGCCUCAUAUAAUGAUUCAGCCUCACAUUGGAUGAAGGUAGUAAUAUCAUUCCUUAACUC